AUCCCAACCUAUCACCUAAAAAAGGGAACCCAUUCUCGCGUCUUAUCUCCAUCAUAAAUCCACCCCCUCGACUCGCAAUAAAUUCCAUCUCAUAUUAAUUAGUAAGUUGCAACACAAGCAAUCACUUGCUUUACCUUUGUCUAGAGCCCCUGGCCUAAUUCUAUCCCUCCAACUUCUAUGACAAUAGAUCCAUCACAAAGAAUGCUUGCUUUACCAGGGUUGGUUUUACAGUCACUUCAUACACAAUUGGUGCUCGCGAAAUACCCCUUAUCUGCCGAGGUAGAAUUCUUUAGGUUAGUGCAUAAGUUGGAAUGGGG
rnacentral:lncRNA from 1 species